AUGGACGGCAUGGGCGUUGGGGAUGUUUGCGAGAAGGGAUCUCCAGGCUUGGCAUCGUCAAGCACAACACCCUCUGAACCAAAGGAAGAUGGCCAUGUAAUACUGAUUCCCCAUUCCCACAUCUUCGCCCUCAUGCUGCAAGCUCUGAAGUUGCCGCCUGCGAAUUACCAUCAUAAGACAUAUCCGGGUAACAACUCUCGUGUUACGGUUACUUUUAAUUCAUCAUUACAGUUGAUCGAUGGUUUGCGUGUUCGAACGUCGAUAUCUGGUGUGAUCUCAAACAACUAUGAUGAAGCAGAAGACAGUGCUGCUAUCGCAGCCAUUAGGUUUAUGGAGAAUGCAUGUGGCAAGGAAAUCAGGGACUAUCACUACACCCACGUAGAAAGGCUGGAAAAUCAAGUCACACUCCUGGAGCGGUACCUGGAUGAAGCAAAAAAGAGAAUCAAGAAGGUACGCAAAGGAUGGUUCUAUGCUGUCAGAUACAUGAGCUCGUAUUCUACUCAGAUACAAAAUACGACAGCUGCUCGUCGCCUAAGAGGGCAGGACAGCACCAAAGGGGCGAUGAAAACAGCACUCGCAAGCACAAGAAAGUUGGCAAAAAGACUACGUUGUAUUGGCCUGAAAUCGGAGCAGUGCCUAGAGACUACAGAUAGUAUCUGGUGA
rnacentral:rRNA from 1 species